CAGUGAAUAAUAUUCUGUAUUCUGAAUCUUACAGGAACUUCCAGGGAAAUGAAAUAAUGCCCCAAGGAAACAUGCAUUAGAUGAAUUAUCUUCAUAAAGUAAAUGCCACAUUUGGCCUUGUACGGUGGCAGCCCUGUAUGAUUAACUGCAAUGGCCUUAAAAUUGGAAAUGUCUGCUAAAAACGUUUUAAUGUUUUUCUCCCAGCAGAAAUACUCAAAGAACAAGAAUGUAGGCCAGUGGUGCCGUUGGUGAGAGGAUUCAUCAGCGACAGAGUUAGGAGCUGAACAGGCAGAGUAAAUGAAAUACACUGCGAAGAGGAGCAGCGGGCAUGAAAGGAGAGGAUGGAAAAUGUCGUUAAAAGCCCAUUUAGCGAGAAAUGAGGAGACUGCGAGCCCCUCAAACUCAGACCUUUUAAGAUACAGGUGGAAGGACCCUGGCUCAGCCUGGAGGCCUCCAGCAGCUCUAAGCCCUCACACUGUAAGAUGUUAAAGGACUAAACAUAGCAAGACAGCAGCCAUUUUAAGGAAAACGACCGUUUUAAAGAGCACAGCUGUCCGUUGCAGGGUAAAACCACAAGAACCACGAGGCCAGGGUGAACGAAACUUAAAGGCUGCCAAAGAAAGGUACACAAUCAGAUUGAACUUGGUCCCCGUUGUGAAAGGUCCCCUUUUUCUGAUA